rnacentral:rRNA from 1 species
UCCUAGUGGCGAACGGGUGAGUAACGCGUAGGCAACCUGCCCUCCGGCCGGGGACAACACUCCGAAAGGGGUGCUAAUACCGGAUACGAAGUCUGUGCCGCAUGGUACGGAUUUGAAAGAUGGCCUCUAUUUAUAAGCUAUCGCCGGGGGAUGGGCCUGCGUCCGAUUAGCUGGUUGGUGGGGUAACGGCCUACCAAGGCGACGAUCGGUAGCCGGUCUGAGAGGAUGAACGGCCACAUUGGGACUGAGACACGGCCCAGACUCCUACGGGAGGCAGCAGUGGGGAAUCUUCCGCAAUGGGCGCAAGCCUGACGGAGCAACGCCGCGUGAGUGAGGAAGUUCUUCGGAACGUAAAGCUCUGUUGUUCCUGACGAACCUCCCCUCUAUCAACAACGGAGGGGACUGACGGUAGGGAACGAGGAAGCCACGGCUAACUACGUGCCAGCAGCCGC